ACACUACUGGCUACUGUGCCAGCUGGUGAAUGGCUCGGCUCGAGAGCCGAUGAAGGACGUGCCAAGCUGCGAAAAGCUCAUGGGACCCGCAUGGAGGGGAAGAACAUGAGAUAUCCGAAUCGGAAUCCGUUUACAAUUGCCACGCGCAAUAGGGAACUCCCUGAAUUGAAACAUCUCAGUAAGGGAAGGAAAAGAACGCAAUAGCGAUGUCGUCAGUAACCGCGAGUGAACGCGACACAGCCCAAACCGAAGGUCUUCGGACCAAUGUGGUGUUCGGGUUGACAAUCAAUUCUCGACAUUUCAUCUGAAGUCUCCUGGAAUGGAGCGUGAGACAGGGUGACAACCCCGUAAGAUGAGGCAGUACAGAAGGCGUCAAUACCAGAGUAGCAGGGGUCGGAUAUCCUCUGUGAACGACUCAGGCAUCCCCUGAGAAGGCUAAACACUCCUCGAGACCGAUAGCGAACAAGUAGCGUGAGCGAACGCUGAAAAGCACCCCGAGAAGGGCGGUGCAAUAGGGCCUGAAAUCAGUUGGCGAUCGAGCGACAGGGCGUACAAGGCGAUUCUCAAAACGACCGAGGAGCGAUCCUCCAGUAGGAAGAGAGUCGAGCCGGCGUCGUGUCGUGCGUUUUGAAAAACGACCCAGGGAGUGCACUUGAUUGGCGAGUCUAACCCGUGAACCGGGGAAGGCGUAGGGAAACCGAUACGGCCGCAGCACAUUCGUGCGAGGGCCACCGUGUUCAAGCGCGGGGAGUCAAUUGGGUGCGACCCGAAACCAGGCGAUCUAUACACAGGCAGGGUGAAGCGUGGCGAAAGCCACGUGGAGGCCCGUUAGAGUUGGUAUUCUACAAUAUCCUCUCGUGAUCUGUGCAUAGGGGUGAAAGGCCCAUCGAGCCUGGCAACAGCUGGUUCCAACCGAAACAUGUCGAAGCAUGACCUCUUCCGAGGUAGCCCGCGGGGUAGAGCUACCGAUUGGAUGACCCGCCUCCGAGAGGAGUCGGCCAUCCUGUCGAACUCCAAACCCGCAGGCGCUGUAGACGAAGGGAGUCCGGUGCGCGGGGUAAGCCUGUGUACCGUGAGGGGAACAACCCAGAGCCGGGUUAAGGUCCCAAAGUGUAGAUUAAGUGCGAUUCGAAGGUGGUCUCAAGCCCUAAACAGCCGGGAGGUGAGCUUAGAAGCAGCUACCCUCUAAGAAAAGCGUAACAGCUUACCGGCCGAGGUUUGAGGCGCCCAAAAUGAUCGGGGCUCAAAUCUACCACCGAGACCUGGCCGUGCCCUUGACAGGGGCAACCGCGUAGGUUGGCGUUCUGUUCGGAUGGAAGCACGGGUGAGAACUCGUGUGGACCGUUCAGAAACGACAAUCCUGGUCACAGUAGCAGCGAUAGUCGGGUGAGAACCUCGACGGCCUGAAGAGCAAGGGUUCCUCGGCACUGCCACUCAGCCGAGGGUCAGCCGGUCCUAAGAUGCACCGUAACUCGACUGCAUCAACGGGAAACUGGUUAAGAUUCCAGUGCCAUCGUGCAGUAAACGUCGACGCCGUGUGGAACGCUGAGCCGGGCUUUCGCCCGGUCAAAUCGUGGAAACUCGUGGAAGCCGUCACGGCACGAAGCGAGCGAAACGCGAGAUAGCGCAAGUCAGCCGUACAUAGGGCCCGUGAAAAGACAAGCACGAUGUCCGUACCAAGAUCCGACACAGGUGCUCUGGCAGCGCAAGCCAAGGCCUGUCGGGAGAACCGACGUUAGGGAAUUCGGCAAGUUAGUCCCGUACCUUCGGAAGAAGGGAUGCCUGCUCUCGACGGAGCAGGUCGCAGUGACUCGGGCGCUCCGACUGUCUAAUAACAACACAGGUGACCGCAAAUCCGCAAGGACUCGUACGGUCACUGAAUCCUGCCCAGUGCGGGUAUCUGAACACCUCGUACAAGAGGACGAAGGACCCGUCAACGGCGGGGGUAACUAUGACCCUCUUAAGGUAGCGUAGUACCUUGCCGCUUCAGUAGCGGCUUGCAUGAAUGGAUAAACGAGAGCGCCACUGUCCCAACGUUGGACCCGGUGAACUGUACGUUCCAGUGCGGAGUCUGGAGACCCCCAAGGGGAAGCGAAGACCCUAUAGAGCUUUACUGCAGGCUGUCGCUGAGACGUGGUCGCCGAUGUGCAGCAUAGGUAGGAGUCAUUACACAGGUACCCGCGCCAGCGGGCCACCGAGACAACAUUGAAAUACUACCCGUCGGUGACUGCGACUCUCACUCCGGGAGGAGUACACCGGUAGCCGGGCAGUUUGACUGGGGCGGUACGCGCUCGAAAAGAUAUCGAGCGCGCCCGAAGAUCAUCUCAGCCGGGUCGGGAAUCCGGCGAAGAGCGCAAGAGCACAAGAUGGUCUGACAGUGUCAUUCCCAACGAGUGACGCUGACGCGAAAGCGUGGUCUAGCGAACCUACGAGGCUCCGGAAUGGGGCCCGUAGAUGACAGAAAAGCUACCUUAGGGAUAACAGAGUCGUCACCCGCAAGAGCACAUAUCGACCGGGUGGCUUGCUACCUCGAUGUCGGUUCCCUCCAUCCUGCCCGUGCAGAAGCGGGCAAGGGUGAGGUUGUUCGCCUAUUAAAGGAGGUCGUGAGCUGGGUUUAGACCGUCGUGAGACAGGUCGGCUGCUAUCUAUUGGGGGUGUCAAGGUACUUGACGUGAACAAACGUAUAGUACGAGAGGAACUACGUUUGGUCGCCACUGGUGUACCGGUUGUGUGAGAACGCAAUGCCGGGUAGCCACGCGACACGGGGUAAGAGCUGAACGCAUCUAAGCUCGAAACCCACAUGGAAAAGAAGUACCGAUGAGGUCACUCGUAGAAGACGAGUUCGAUAGACUCGGGAUGUACGCACCGAGGCAACGAGGUGUUGAGUCCACGAGCACUAACAGACCGAAGCCACAGUCAUAC
rfam:Halorubrum lacusprofundi ATCC 49239 chromosome 1, complete sequence.